GUCCCUGGGCGGCAGGCUUACACAUGCAGUCGAGCGCCCCGCAAGGGGAGCGGCAGACGGGUGAGUAACGCGUGGGAAUCUACCCUUUUCUACGGAAUAACGCAGGGAAACUUGUGCUAAUACCGUAUGAGCCCUUCGGGGGAAAGAUUUAUCGGGAAAGGAUGAGCCCGCGUUGGAUUAGCUAGUUGGUGGGGUAAAGGCCUACCAAGGCGACGAUCCAUAGCUGGUCUGAGAGGAUGAUCAGCCACAUUGGGACUGAGACACGGCCCAAACUCCUACGGGAGGCAGCAGUGGGGAAUAUUGGACAAUGGGCGCAAGCCUGAUCCAGCCAUGCCGCGUGAGUGAUGAAGGCCCUAGGGUUGUAAAGCUCUUUCACCGGUGAAGAUAAUGACGGUAACCGGAGAAGAAGCCCCGGCUAACUUCGUGCCAGCAGCCGCGGUAAUACGAAGGGGGCUAGCGUUGUUCGGAAUUACUGGGCGUAAAGCGCACGUAGGCGGAUUGUUAAGUGAGGGGUGAAAUCCCAGGGCUCAACCCUGGAACUGCCUUUCAUACUGGCAUCUAUAUUCCAGAAGAGGUGAGUGUAAUUCCGAGUGUAGACG
rnacentral:rRNA from 1 species